GAUGAAGAACGCAGCGAAAUGCGAUACUUGGUGUGAAUUGCAGAAUCCCGUGAACCAUCGAGUCUUUGAACGCAAGUUGCGCCCGAAGCCAUUAGGCCGAGGGCACGCCUGCCUGGGCGUCACACGUCGUUGCCCCCCCAUCUACUCCUUCGGGAUUGCGGGGGGCGGAUGAUGGCCUCCCGUGCGCCUCGUCGCGCGGUUGGCAUAAAUGCCAAGUCCUCGGCGACGCACGCCACGACAAUCGGUGGUUGCGAAACCUCGGUUGCCCGUCGUGUGCGGUCGUCGCGCAUCGAGGGCUCGAAAAAAUUGCCGGGCUCCGGUUCGGCUUUCAACGCGACCCCAGGUCAGGCGGGGUUACCCGCUGAAUUUAAGCAUAUCAAUAAGCGGAGGA
rnacentral:misc_RNA from 1 species